GGAAAAGAAAAAAACAAGCACAUUUUGUCACGCUGAUCAAAGCGACAACAAGAGAACUUCAUGCCACAGAAAAAGAUGAAGAACUUCAACACCAAUCAAAAGUAUCAAAAAUAUUGGAGGUUGUGCAGCGUCCACAUCCCAAGAUGAUCCUGACUUCACUGAAGAUGUCAUCUCAGAGAGGCGUGUAUGGAAGAGGAGCAGACUGGAUCCAAAAUUCCACCUACCGGUACCUCAAAUCCAGUUGGUCCAGAUGAAUGACCAACCACAGUCUCUGAUCCAGUAAGAAUGGAUUUGGUGCAGAGAGGUCCUUUUCAGACUGAGAGACUCUGACUUUCCAGAAUCCCCCUCAUUGAGCUGUUGUGUUCUUUAUGUUGGAUUGUUUUAUCGUUAUUUGAGUUUCUAUUAAGUUGCUGUUUUUAAUAAUUUGGAGUUUUGUGAAUGUCAUUUGUUGAGUGCCUA